CUUUUAAAACUGAACACCUAGGUGGGUUUUGUGGUGGGUGGUGAACGGACAGGUUUGGGCCUGGAUCCCCCACCCGACCCUAGCACCCACAGGUGGGGUUGCCCGCUCUACUGAUACGCCUCCUCUCUCAGCACUGUGGACCUGCUGGACUGGAGCAGCCUCAUCCACAGCAGGACCAAGCUCUCCAAGCACCUGGUGGUCCCCAACGCACAGGUAACAGCCCCGCUCUUCAGUGAGGCCCAACUCAGCGGGGCGCUGGGCUAAGAAGGGAAUUCAGCCUGCCACGUGUGUUUCUUGUUGCACACCCUGGGAACUUAACAUGACCAAGAUCACUGCACACUAUGGCCCCACAGACCCCCUGUGGUCCAGGGGGAAGAAGACAAACCCACUAGUGUCCACAGCGUGCUUGGUGGGACAGAGACCCACGCGGAGCCUUAACACGCCACAAGGAGAGGGGGUCUGGGGGCCUCCCCCAAGUCAUCUGUCUUGUGCAUCAGGCCACCCCAAACUUCAGAGGCCUGAAACGGCAGCAGCCACUCUGCUUCUGCCUCAUGGUUCUGAGGUUGACAGGGCUCAGCUGGGCAGUCCUCCCUUGGGGUCUCCUGGGUACUCACAGAGUGGUGGCGCUGGGACCUGGGGGAGGCUCACUUGUCUGGGAGUUGGUGCUGGCUGUGGCUUGGGCUUUUUCCCAACAUGGCAGCUGGGCUCUAAGGGCCAGUGUCCCCUGAGACAUGAGAGCCAGGCAGAAGCUGGGUGACCUUUUCGUGCCUCGCCUCAGAAGUCACACGGUGUCUUUUCUGCCAAGUUCUGUUUGUUAGAAGCAUAUCACCAGGCCAGCCUGUAUACAGUGGGGAGAGGAAUGAGACUCAUCUGCCUGUGGGAGGGGGGCCCAGGACCUGGCAGACUGCUUGAAACCACAACCUAAACUGGGAUUCGAAGAAAGAACAGAAGCACCUUCAGAAAACAUCCUGCAGAGGCAGCUUUCUAUGGCACAUCUAGCCCCAGUUCACUAAGGGCCCAGCCUCAAACUUAGAGCCCCUGACCCAGAGCCUCGGGGCGCAGUGUGUACAGUGUGGCUGUGCACCAGGGCCACCAGCUGUUGGAGACUUUAGCGCGGUGUAGCAAGGGAUAGAGCGGUACUGUUUGUGCCCAGUGAGGCAAGGCUGCUGGGGCCAGCAAAGGGGUGAGCGGGAGGCCCUGCGGGAUGGGUCCCCACGGCCUCUGAGCACCAGCUCCUUGAAGGCCUCAUCCUGGUGGUUGCCCUGGUCCCUGGCUACGUGUCAGCAUGUGCUGCAGGACCACCCUGUCUGCCCAUAGCCAGGGGUUCUUCCUCCUGGGCCCUCUUCCUGCUCUGUUUGACGAUUGGAUGGUCAGUGUUCACUUGCUCAGUGUCACAUGGGAGCUGCAGGGGGCCCUCCCACAAUGGUGGGGCCUUUGUGAGAACUGCGGAGACUGUUAGAGUACACACUUCGGGGUGCAGGCCUGGACUGAGCCUGGGGCCCACUGACAUGGGCACUGAGCUCCCUCAUGGUACCCCCAGGCCCCACAUAGGACAGUGCACUGGCUGCGUUGGAGGUUCUGGGGCACUGUGCUGCUGUGUCCAGGUGGCCCUCCCUCCUGGCCCUGCAUGAGAGGGUUCCUGUGGGCUGGGAACACUGAGAGAGGUUUAGCCUGGGCCUCAGGGUGGCACUUUCCAGCCCUCGCUGUGGGCUGACCACAUGUUGCACCCCCAGACAGGACAGCUGGAGCCCCUGCUGUCCCGGUUCACUGAGGAGGAGGAGCUACAGAUGACGAGGAUGCUACAGCGGAUGGAUGUCCUGGCCAAGGUGAGCUGUCCUGCUUGGGCAGAGGGCUGGGGCCUUGGGGACCUGGGACUCGUGCAGAAGAGGGCAUCUGCCUCACUUGAGCAAUAGUUGCUCCCACUCCCCCACCCCCUGCGCCUCUCAGAAAGCCACAGAGAUGGGCGUGCGGCUGAUGGUGGAUGCCGAGCAGACCUACUUCCAGCCGGCCAUCAGCCGCCUGACGCUGGAGAUGCAGCGGAAGUUCAAUGUGGAGAAGCCGCUCAUCUUCAACACAUACCAGUGCUACCUCAAGGAUGCCUAUGACAAUGUAACCCUGGAUGUGGAGCUGGCUCGCCGUGAGGGCUGGUGUUUUGGGGCCAAGCUGGUGCGGGGCGCAUACCUGGCCCAGGAGCGAGCCCGUGCGGCAGAGAUCGGCUAUGAGGACCCCAUCAACCCCACGUACGAGGCCACCAAUGCCAUGUACCACAGGUGCCUGGACUACGUGCUGGAGGAGCUGAAGCACAAUGCCAAGGCCAAGAUGAUGGUGGCCUCCCACAACGAGGACACAGUGCGCUUCGCACUGCACAGGUAGGUGUGCCCCACCCCGCACCGAAACCCUACCCCGAGCCGUUGUCUCCUCCGGUUGGGGAGAGGUGGCAGCAGCACAGAGCUCAGGGUGGGCAGAGCGACCUGCUGGGUAGUCGGGCCUUUGUGGGGAAAGGUUGGUGAAAUGAGCUGGAGGGCGGCUUCAGUGCCGCAGGCCCAGGCCCGCUGGCACUCUGGACGUCGGACUGUGAGAGCACAACGGCUCUUUGCAAUUACGUUGGUUUUUAAAAUUAACUUUUUUUUUUUUUUGAGAAUCUCGCUCUGUCACCUAUGCUGGAGUGCAGUGGCGUGGUCUCAGCUCACUGCAACCUCUGCUUCCCAAGUUCAAGCAAUUCUUCAUGCCUCAGCCUCCCAAGUAGCUGGGAUUACAGGCAUGUGCCACCACGCCUGGCUAAUGUUUUGUAUUUUUAGCAGACAGGGGUUCACCAUGUUGGCCAGCUGGUCUCAAACUCCUGGCCUCAAGUGAUCCUCCCUUCUUGGCCUCCCAAAGUGCUGGGAUUACAAGCAUCAGCCACUGUACCCAGACUUUUAAAAAUUAACAUCUGACUUAUUAAACUUCACAGUUAAAAAACUAAAUUUCAUUAGGGUAUUCGGAUGGCUCCUGAAAGGUACAAAGGCAUUGUUGGAGCCCAGUCCCUCAGGAGGCCUCCACAGCGCCACCUCAUUUAUAAGCAGUUCCCUUAACAUUUUAACUACAUCUGGAAUGUAACGGUUUGUUUUCUCUUUAAACAUUUGUCCCAUGGAGCACAACUUCAGUAGAAUUCUAACAAGUCAAAUGCAGAAGUUAGGUGAAGUCAGUUCUUGGAUACUCCUGUACUGUCACCCUGGUCUUAUCUCAUGCCUUAGCCCAAACUAUGCACACAAUGGGGUCCUAGGUCCCCCUCACCUCCCAGAUUCCGCCUUCCCAGGGAUGGGACCCCCUAGAACCCUCGGGGGCCUGGGCAGUGGCCUCACUGGCUCUCACCUUCCUAGGAGCUGAGCAGGGACUCCACUCCUCAGCAGGGCAGGGUGCCCCAGAUCCAGGACUUGUGGCAUGAUGGGGCUCCCCAAGGAGCUGUGAAGCCACAGGGCCAGGCUUGGGGCCGGGGCUGCAGCCAACAGGACACGUCCUGGUGCUGCUCGGGGAGCUGACUCACGGCUCUGAAAUCAUGCAGUGAUGUCCACAUUCGGCCUUUGUUCAUGAUGCUGCUGCUUUUUCAUGCCUGAAAUCGCAGCACACACGUUUUUGUGCCCUGACCCUCUGCUAAUUGUCAUAGGUGUGUCGGUGAUGAGACAGACUCACUUUUUCCACACACACAGGCCUGGUGGUCAGCAGUGCCCAGCACUCGGGAGCUGGUGGGGGGUCCUCUCAGCUUGUAAUCAGGACUCCCAGCCUCUGGGUGGACUCUUAAUGCUGGUGGACUCACAGCCUGACUAGACACAUUACCAUCCAACUCCAAAAAGACAGCCUGGCCUCAGCAGGGCUUCCUCUCUCCAGUUUCCCCCCGACACCUGUCUGUCCCUACUAUCUUGCUGUGGCAGUGGCUUCCCCACUGGACACAGCUUCCCCCUCCCCUGAGUGGCAGCCGGGCUCUCUCCUCAUGGCCCCAAGGGCCCUGUGCCAGGCUCCCCCAAUACCACGCUCACAUCUCUGCCUGAGAGGCUGGACCCCUGCAGGCUUCAGCUCUGGGCCCCUGCUGUGGGUGGCUGGGGAGCUCUGGGGAGCUGGGGUCCCCUCCCCUGGGUAAGUGGUUCUAGACUAUGGCAGCUGCUGUGUCCUAUGCUGGGCCCAGACUGCCGCACCACCCACCCUCAAACAACCCGAGUUGGCUUUGGCCAAGGAACAAACCAGCCCCAAACUUAGAGGCUGGAACAGUGGCAUGUUCUGUAGGCCAGGGGUGGGCUGGCUCAGCUGAUGUUUCUGCCACUGGCUGUGCCUUUGUCCCUCUUGCGUCUGUGAUCUGGGGCCGGUGGGGCCUAAUGAGCUCAUUCACAGCUGGGGCAGUAAAGGAGACUGCAUCCCCGGUCCAGCGUCCCACAGGCCAGCCCAGGUUUGGGCAUGUGGUGGGCUCAGGCUUCCAGAAGGCCUGGAGAGGGCAAGCCUCUGCUUAUGUCACCUUUGGUACCUCCCUGUUGGCCAAAGUGCCUCACGAGGCCAAGCCCAGAUGCCGGGUGGAGUGAGCCACUGUCCUGCGCUGGGAGGAGCCGCAGUCACUUGGCAGAGGCUGUGCACACCAGCAGGGGAGGGGGCAGCCAGCAGUGGCAGCCCGGCUCUCGGGUUCAUGUCCUGGGGUUGAGGAAGACACAAGAUGGGUGCCUGCUUUAGACUGGGUGGUCCCG
rnacentral:sRNA from 1 species